rnacentral:rRNA from 1 species
GACGAACGCUGGCGGCGUGCUUAACACAUGCAAGUCGAACGGAGUGGCGAACGGGUGAGUAACACGUGGGUGAUCUGCCUUGCACUUCGGGAUAAGCCUGGGAAACUGGGUCUAAUACCGGAUAGUGCAAGAUGAGCCCGCGGCCAAUCAGCUUGUUGGUGGGGUAAUGGCCUACCAAGGCGGCGACGGGUAGCCGGCCUGAGAGGGUGUACGGCCACAUGGGGACUGCGAGACGGGCCAGACGCCGACGGGAGGCAGUAGGGGGGAAUAUUGCACAAUCGGCGGAAGCCUGAUGCAGCGACGCCGCGUGGGGGAUGAAGGCCUUCGGGUUGUAAACUCCUUUCGACAGGGACGCGGUACCUGUAUAAGAAGCACCGGCUAACUCCGUGCCAGCAGCCGCGGUAAUUC